GCCUGGGUGGCUCAGUUAGUUAAGCAUCUGAUUUCGGCUCAGGUCAUGAUCUCACUGUUCAUGGGUUCGAGCCCCGUGUCAGGCU
rnacentral:tRNA from 1 species